rnacentral:tRNA from 2 species
GCCGGUGUAGCUCAGUUGGUAGAGCCACUGAUUUGUAAUCAGUAGGUCGUCGGUUCGAGUCCGACCGCCGGCU